ensembl:lncRNA
AGCUGCUGAUCACGUGUUAAACCAUACAUGAAGGGGAACGAGGCGGGAGCCUGGGGACCAGAGCCCUCCUUAAAGUGCAAAGCAGGUUUCAAAUGCAAUCACUGGCUUUAAAGGAAAACGCACAGACCCAUCGGACCACUGCUGAGAGGAGAAUCCUCACCUGUUCCUUAUUCCUUGGAUUCUGAGUCCUCACUGAACCCUCCUCUCUGCCAAGGACCAGAAGGGCUGGACAGGAUUGUGCUGUGCUGCUCGAGACGGGAGGGCCAGGGCCUUGGAAAUGCGUCAAGAGCAAGAAGACAGGAGGAAACAGAG